ACUCCUACGGGAGGCAGCAGUGGGGAAUAUUGCACAAUGGGGGAAAGACCCUGAUGCAGCCAUGCCGCGUGUGUGAAGAAGGCCUUCGGGUUGUAAAGCACUUUCAGUAGGGAGGAAGGUAGUGUAGUUAACACCUGCAUUAUUUGACGUUACCUACAGAAGAAGCACCGGCUAACUCCGUGCCAGCAGCCGCGGUAAUACGGAGGGUGCGAGCGUUAUCCGGAUUUAUUGGGUUUAAAGGGUCCGUAGGCGGAUUAAUAAGUCAGUGGUGAAAUCCCAUCGCUUAACGAUGGAACUGCCAUUGAUACUGUUAGUCUUGAAUGAGGGUGCAGUGGUUGGAAUGUGUAGUGUAGCGGUGAAAUGCAUAGAUAUUACACAGAACACCGAUUGCGAAGGCAGAUCACUAACCCUAAAUUGACGCUGAGGGACGAAAGCGUGGGGAGCGAACAGGAUUAGAUACCCUGUAGGUGACAAU
rnacentral:rRNA from 1 species